CCUAAUAUCCAUUUGUUUAUAUAUUUGUAGAAAUGGUAACCAAGAACAUGAUUAUUGAUUUGUCUACAAACGAAAAGUUGAAUGUGACAAAUUAUGAUAUAUGGCAAGAAAGAUUUAGUAUCUUCUUAACGAGUGUGAGGUUUUAGAAACCUUGAUCACUAUUGUACCUGAACUAAAAAAUAUUGGUAGUGACUGUUACAAUGAGGAUUUGGCUGCAUAUCAGGAAUGGUCUAAAA
rnacentral:lncRNA from 1 species